GCCGGCAUUCAGAAUUCAGAGAGAAAAGAGCAGUCAGUCCAGAACGGCAAAUAUUUCUUUACAUAAGUGUAUUUCUAUUUAUUAUCUGCACCGUUUAUGCAUACUCUUUGUCUAAAUCUGUCACUUUAAAAAUUGGUUUCAUAAUCUUCCAUUGAAGAAGACAAAAAAUCUAAGAAUUAUAAUAUAAAAGCGCUAUUUUUUGCGCGACGAUGGCUGCUCUGAUAAAACUUCGUCAUAUGCCUGUUGUCCAGAGAUGUGUUUGGAAUCAUUAUAACAAAUUAAAUCGUUGCAUCUCGACAUCAAAGAAGAACAGUGAAACUGCUACCACUGCAUGUGAAAAAGCUGAAGAUAAAAAUUGGGUUAGCUACGGAUUUGAUUACACGAGCAAA